rnacentral:rRNA from 1 species
GACGUAGGGCGCGAGCGUUGUCCGGAUUUAUUGGGCGUAAAGAGCUCGUAGGCGGCUUGUUGCGUCGACUGUGAAAACCUGCGGCUCAACCGUGUGGUCUGCAGUCGAUACGGGCAGGCUGGAGUUCGGUAGGGGAGACUGGAAUUCCUGGUGUAGCGGUGAAAUGCGCAGAUAUCAGGAGGAACACCGGUGGCGAAGGCGGGGCUCUGGGCCGAUACUGACGCUGAGGAGCGAAAGCGUGGGGAGCGAACAGG